GGGCCCGUAGCUCAGCUUGGUCGGAGCGCCCGGCUGAUAACCGGGAGGUCCCGGGUUCAAAUCCCGGCGGGCCCACCA
rnacentral:tRNA from 1 species